AACCCCUAUUGUGGACACUUCUACAAGAGAUCCUUGAAUCGCUCCCAAGUCUCAAACAAGGAUUCAAGUUUCAUCUGAACAAAUAAAGAUAUCUCAUUGCGAAGCUU